CUCUUAAUGCUCAGAAGGAGCAAUGGAGACUCAGUGACCCAGACAGAAGGCCUGGUCACUCUCACCAAGGGGUUGCCUGUGAUGCUGAACUGCACCUAUCAGACUACUUACUCACCUUUCCUUUUCUGGUAUGUGCAACAUCUCAACGAAGCCCCUAAGCUACUCCUGAAGAGCUCCACAGACAACAAGAGGACCGAGCACCAAGGGUUCUACGCCACUCUCCAUAAGAGCAGCAGCUCCUUCCAUCUGCAGAAGUCCUCAGUGCAGCUGUCAGACUCUGCCCUGUACUUCUGUGCUUUGAGUGACACAG
rnacentral:lncRNA from 1 species